AUUGGGCAAUGGGCGCAAGCCUGACCUAGCAACGCCGCGUGAAGGAAGAAGGCUUUCGGGUUGUAAACUUCUUUUCUCAGGGACGAAGAAAGUGACGGUACCUGAGGAAUAAGCCACGGCUAACUACGCCGCAGCAGCCGCGGUAAUACGUAGGUGGCAAGCGUUAUCCGGAUUUACGGGGUGUAAAGGGCGUGUAGGCGGGAAAGCAAGUCAGAUGUGAAAACCACGGGCUCAACCUGUGACCUGCAUUUGAAACUGUUUUUCUUGAGUACUGGAGAGGCAGACGGAAUUCCUAGUGUAGCGGUGAAAUGCGUAGAUAUUAGGAGGAACACCAGUGGCGAAGGCGGUCUGCUGGACAGCAACUGACACUGAGGCGCGAAAGCGUGGGGAGCAAACAGG
rnacentral:rRNA from 1 species